rnacentral:rRNA from 1 species
AACGAACGCUGGCGGCAGGCUUAACACAUGCAAGUCGAACGCCCCGCAAGGGGAGUGGCAGACGGGUGAGUAACGCGUGGGAAUCUACCCAGAUCUUCGGAACAACUGAGGGAAACUUCAGCUAAUACCGGAUACGCCCUACGGGGGAAAGAUUUAUCGGUUCUGGAUGAGCCCGCGUUGGAUUAGCUAGUUGGUGAGGUAACGGCUCACCAAGGCGACGAUCCAUAGCUGGUCUGAGAGGAUGAUCAGCCACACUGGGACUGAGACACGGCCCAGACUCCUACGGGAGGCAGCAGUGGGGAAUAUUGGACAAUGGGCGAAAGCCUGAUCCAGCCAUGCCGCGUGAGUGAUGAAGGCCUUAGGGUUGUAAAGCUCUUUCAGUAGGGAAGAUAAUGACGGUACCUACAGAAGAAGCCCCGGCUAACUUCGUGCCAGCAGCCGCCGUAACAC